rnacentral:misc_RNA from 1 species
UUUCAUGGACGAAUUACUGCGGUUGCAUUUCAGGGCAGCACAUUCAGAGCAAUAAGCCAAGCGCCAUUUCCACUCACGGGGUACCCUGUGCUUCAAAACAAACUCCAGUUUCAAAAACCAGGAAUAGUCUGCAACAAGGACGACUGGAACAAAUUCCUGUUGGCUACAAAAGUGAGUCACUUUCUUUGAGGG